rnacentral:rRNA from 1 species
AGAUCGAACUAUAGAGUUUGAUCCUGGCUCAGAUUGAACGCUGGCGGAAUGCUUUACACAUGCAAGUCGAACGGCAGCAUAGGUGCUUGCACCUGAUGGCGAGUGGCGAACGGGUGAGUAAUACAUCGGAACGUGCCCAGUCGUGGGGGAUAACGUAGCGAAAGUUACGCUAAUACCGCAUACGAUCUAAGGAUGAAAGCGGGGGACCGUAAGGCCUCGCGCGAUUGGAGCGGCCGAUGUCAGAUUAGGUAGUUGGUGAGGUAAAGGCUCACCAAGCCGACGAUCUGUAGCUGGUCUGAGAGGACGACCAGCCACACUGGGACUGAGACACGGCCCAGACUCCUACGGGAGGCAGCAGUGGGGAAUUUUGGACAAUGGGCGCAAGCCUGAUCCAGCCAUUCCGCGUGCAGGACGAAGGCCUUCGGGUUGUAAACUGCUUUUGUACGGAACGAAAAGGCUCUGGUUAAUACCUGGGGCUCAUGACGGUACCGUAAGAAUAAGCACCGGCUAACUACGUGCCAGCAGCCGCGGUAAUACGUAGGGUGCAAGCGUUAAUCGGAAUUACUGGGCGUAAAGCGUGCGCAGGCGGUGAUGUAAGACAGAUGUGAAAUCCCCGGGCUCAACCUGGGAACUGCAUUUGUGACUGCAUCGCUGGAGUGCGGCAGAGGGGGAUGGAAUUCCGCGUGUAGCAGUGAAAUGCGUAGAUAUGCGGAGGAACACCGAUGGCGAAGGCAAUCCCCUGGGCCUGCACUGACGCUCAUGCACGAAAGCGUGGGGAGCA